rnacentral:rRNA from 1 species
AUACGGAGGGUGCGAGCGUUAAUCGGAAUCACUGGGCGUAAAGCGCGCGCAGGCGGCUAUUUAAGUUGGAUGUGGAAGCCUACGGCUCAACCGUAGAACUGCAUCCAAAACUAUUUAGCUAGAGUGUGGGAGAGGAAGAUGGAAUUAGUUGUGUAGGGGUAAAAUCCGUAGAGAUAACUAGGAAUACCAAAAGCGAAGGCAAUCUUCUGGAACACUACUGACGCUGAGGCGCGAAAGCGUGGGGAGCAAACGGGAUUAGAUACCCUUGUAGUCC